AUGAAGUGGGGUUUAGACCCUAAAUGCUUCAGUGUGAGCUGUGAAGCCCCACAGCUUGGCUGGAUCAAUCUGGACUUCGGGCAGAUGCGCACUAAGGGCUGCUUACCUAGAGGAGCCACGUUUCUCCUGGACAGUCAAGAUAACUGCCAGAGGAGCCACAUGCUGGGUAAAUCCUGAACCCAAAGUGGAAUUUUGCCCUAGUAUAAUGGGUUCAUAUUCGAUUGGCUGCACUUAGCUAUAAAUCCUGAGGAGGAGAAGAAGAAAGACGCCAGAAAGUAAUUGGACUAGAAGAACCUUAGUUUGGAAGCAAAACACAGAAUCUAGAAACUAUGAAGAAAUUUACAUGCACACAUAUGUAUACAAGCCAUGAGAGGGAAAUGGGAAUGUACCUGAGAGUGUCGUCAAAGC